rfam:Dipodomys ordii contig_17296, whole genome shotgun sequence.
GGGAACGUGGCUCAUUGGUAGAGCGCUUGCCUUGCAUGCAUGAGGCCCUGGGUUCGAUUCCUCAGCACCA